CUCCUCCCCCUCGCCAGGACACCGGGCAGAGCCGCACGGGGGGAUCCCUCUCCUGGUGGGGGCGGGGAAUGGGGCUUCUCCCCCCCACCCCCGCGCCAGGGGGGCGAGCCGAGGCGUCCGCUGAGCAGCCGCGGGAUGUCCGCGAUGGUAGGGGAGCGGCGGCGGAGCAGGGGCUUUGCCCGCAUCCUAGCAGGAGCCCGCAGGCUCGACCGAGCUGGGGCGGGGGGCUGCUCCCCUGCUGACUGGAAGUGUAUUUCAUAGGCUCCAUACUGCUCAGAGGUGAGCCAGGCUGGAUCCAGCUCUGUAUUUGUCAGAAUUCAGUGGAGACACGGGCACCUUGGCACGAGCUGGCGCCUCACUGCCAGCGUCACAGAGGGAGUUACGCCAACAGAAGUAACAGAAGAAGCAGGCCCGAUAAGGAUGCAAGGCUUUGGGGCUAUGCAAAGCCCAUUUAAAUCAAUAGAAAGACUCCUCUUGCUCUGGGCUUUGGAUCAGAGCCCGAAGACUGGGCACAAAAGAAACAAACCCAGAAUUCCCAUUCGGGGGAUGGCUAGAAAGUAACGUUUGGACCUGAUCAUGCAAAUAGAUGAGUAACUUUAUUAGUGUGUUGUAGUUCCAUUGAAGCCAAUGGAACAGCCCCCCUGCCACCAAUAAGCUUUGGAUCAGACACUUGGCCUGUUAGGAAAGUGUUUGUCCAACUGUUCAUUUGCAAGAGAAAAUUUGUGCUGGAAUUUAAAAUAAAAUGUUUUAGAGGAAAUGUAAAAAAUAUAUUAGUUCCCCAAAAUUAGCCCCAUAUUCCUCUGAUGUAUGAAAACAAAACACCAUAUGAAAAAGUGGCAUUGGUAUAAAUGUUCUUUCUGUGGGAAAACUUUAGCAACUUACAUAAUCAAUUGCCAGCAUAUUUCUGUAGCUAACCCCAAUUAUUACAAACAAAUUGGCAUGAACAUUCAUCUUGCAAACUUUUCAGUAAACACAAUGGACUUUUCUUCUUCUUGGAUUAGAAUUAGUAAAAGCACAGAGAAGGGCACUAAGCAUGAGUGGGGCAUGGAACAGCUUCCAUAUGAGGAGAGAUUAAUGAGAUUGAGACUGUUCAUCGUAGAAAAGAGACAACAAAGGGGGGAUAUGAGAGAGGACUAUACAAACAUCCAUGAUGUGGAGAAAGAGACCACGGAUGUGUUGUUUGCCUCUUCGCAUAACACAAGACCCACAGGUCACCCAAUGAAAUGAAUAGGCAGCAGGUUUAAAACAAACAAAAAGAAGUAUUUCUUCACACAACACAC